rnacentral:rRNA from 1 species
CGUGCAGGCGGUUUGGUAAGUUGGAUGUGAAAGCUCUUGGCUCAACUGGGAGAGGUCGUUCAAUACUACCAGACUUGAGAGUGGUAGAGGGAGGUGGAAUUCCCGGUGUAGUGGUGAAAUGCGUAGAUAUCGGGAGGAACACCAGUGGCGAAAGCGGCCUCCUGGACCAUUUCUGACGCUCAGACGCGAAAGCUAGGGGAGCAAACGGGAUUAGAGACCCCGGUAGUCCUAGCUGUAAACGAUGUGAACUUGGCGUCGGUGGUGUAAAAACCAUCGGUGCCGUAGCCAACGCGAUAAGUUCACCGCCUGGGGACUACGGCCGCAAGGUUAAA